AGAUGGCGACCGGCGCACGGGUGAGUAACACGUAUCCAACCUGCCGAUAACUCGGGGAUAGCCUUUCGAAAGAAAGAUUAAUACCCGAUGGUAUAAUCAGACCGCAUGGUCUUGUUAUUAAAGAAUUUCGAUAACCGAUGGGGAUGCGUUCCAUUAGUUUGUUGGCGGGGUAACGGCCCACCAAGACAUCGAUGGAUAGGGGUUCUGAGAGGAAGGUCCCCCACAUUGGAACUGAGACACGGUCCAA
rnacentral:rRNA from 1 species